rnacentral:rRNA from 1 species
AUUGAACGCUGGCGGCAGGCCUAACACAUGCAAGUCGGGCUAGCGGCGGCCGGGUGAGUCAUGUAUUGGGAUCUGCCUGAUGGAGGGGGAUAACUCCUGGAAACGGUCGCUAAUCCCGCAUACCAUCAGAUGACCCCAUAUGGGAUUAGCUUGUAGUUCAGGUAACGGCUCACCUAGGCGACGAUCCCUAGCUGGUCUGAGAGGAGGAUCAGCCACACUGGAAUUGAGACACGGCCCAGACUCCUACGGGAGGCAGAAUUGGGGAAUAUUGCACAAUGGGCGCAAGCCUGAUGCAGCCAUGCCGCGUGUAUGAAGAAGGCCUUCGGGUUGUAAAGUACUUUCAGUCGGGAGGCGUUACCGACAGAAGAAGCACCGGCUAACUCCGUGCCAGCAGCCGCGGUAAUAC